rnacentral:rRNA from 1 species
AAGAGACAGCAGCAGCCACGGGAAUACGUAGGUGGCAAGCGUUGUCCGGAAUUAUUGGGCGUAAAGGGCUCGCAGGCGGUUUCUUAAGUCUGAUGUGAAAGCCCCCGGCUCAACCGGGGAGGGUCAUUGGAAACUGGGAAACUUGAGUGCAGAAGAGGAGAGUGGAAUUCCACGUGUAGCGGUGAAAUGCGUAGAGAUGUGGAGGAACACCAGUGGCGAAGGCGACUCUCUGGUCUGUAACUGACGCUGAGGAGCGAAAGCGUGGGGAGCGAACAGGAUUAGAUACCCCCGUAGUCCCUGUCUCUUAUAC